rnacentral:rRNA from 4 species
AGAGUUUGAUCAUGGCUCAGAUUGAACGCUGGCGGCAGGCCUAACACAUGCAAGUCGAACGGUAACAGAAAGCAGCUUGCUGCUUUGCUGACGAGUGGCGGACGGGUGAGUAAUGUCUGGGAAACUGCCUGAUGGAGGGGGAUAACUACUGGAAACGGUAGCUAAUACCGCAUAACGUCGCAAGACCAAAGAGGGGGACCUUAGGGCCUCUUGCCAUCGGAUGUGCCCAGAUGGGAUUAGCUAGUAGGUGGGGUAACGGCUCACCUAGGCGACGAUCCCUAGCUGGUCUGAGAGGAUGACCAGCCACACUGGAACUGAGACACGGUCCAGACUCCUACGGGAGGCAGCAGUGGGGAAUAUUGCACAAUGGGCGCAAGCCUGAUGCAGCCAUGCCGCGUGUAUGAAGAAGGCCUUCGGGUUGUAAAGUACUUUCAGCGGGGAGGAAGGGAGUAAAGUUAAUACCUUUGCUCAUUGACGUUACCCGCAGAAGAAGCACCGGCUAACUCCGUGCCAGCAGCCGCGGUAAUACGGAGGGUGCAAGCGUUAAUCGGAAUUACUGGGCGUAAAGCGCACGCAGGCGGUUUGUUAAGUCAGAUGUGAAAUCCCCGGGCUCAACCUGGGAACUGCAUCUGAUACUGGCAAGCUUGAGUCUCGUAGAGGGGGGUAGAAUUCCAGGUGUAGCGGUGAAAUGCGUAGAGAUCUGGAGGAAUACCGGUGGCGAAGGCGGCCCCCUGGACGAAGACUGACGCUCAGGUGCGAAAGCGUGGGGAGCAAACAGGAUUAGAUACCCUGGUAGUCCACGCCGUAAACGAUGUCGACUUGGAGGUUGUGCCCUUGAGGCGUGGCUUCCGGAGCUAACGCGUUAAGUCGACCGCCUGGGGAGUACGGCCGCAAGGUUAAAACUCAAAUGAAUUGACGGGGGCCCGCACAAGCGGUGGAGCAUGUGGUUUAAUUCGAUGCAACGCGAAGAACCUUACCUGGUCUUGACAUCCACGGAAGUUUUCAGAGAUGAGAAUGUGCCUUCGGGAACCGUGAGACAGGUGCUGCAUGGCUGUCGUCAGCUCGUGUUGUGAAAUGUUGGGUUAAGUCCCGCAACGAGCGCAACCCUUAUCCUUUGUUGCCAGCGGUCCGGCCGGGAACUCAAAGGAGACUGCCAGUGAUAAACUGGAGGAAGGUGGGGAUGACGUCAAGUCAUCAUGGCCCUUACGACCAGGGCUACACACGUGCUACAAUGGCGCAUACAAAGAGAAGCGACCUCGCGAGAGCAAGCGGACCUCAUAAAGUGCGUCGUAGUCCGGAUUGGAGUCUGCAACUCGACUCCAUGAAGUCGGAAUCGCUAGUAAUCGUGGAUCAGAAUGCCACGGUGAAUACGUUCCCGGGCCUUGUACACACCGCCCGUCACACCAUGGGAGUGGGUUGCAAAAGAAGUAGGUAGCUUAACCUUCGGGAGGGCGCUUACCACUUUGUGAUUCAUGACUGGGGUGAAGUCGUAACAAGGUAACCGUAGGGGAACCUGCGGUUG